AGGAAGGAACCAUGGCUGCUCCCAAAGCUCUCAUCUGCGCCAUGAUCAUACUGCUUGGAGUCGUCGGCUUCACCUGCCCUCGCGCCUCGGCAGGGCGUGUGCCAUCGGUCGCUCCGGUGCCUGUCCGUUGUGCAUCCACUGGCGAAUCAAACAUCGUAUCUGCAGGAACAGGAACAGGAGGAUGCGGUGGCAGCGCUCCAGCUGCCGCAGAAGAGAAGGCCCUGCUCCCGGUGCGCCUUCCGCCCCGCCUCCCGCCGUCGCGCGAAAACCUGCUCAAAACUCCACCACGAAGCAUCCACUAAGGUGAAGGACAAACAGGAAGCAUACCACUAAGGUGACGGACAAAUAAGAUGGAUCCACUAAGUCGUAAUGGUGUAACAGUUGUGGUUAUCGUGCAUGUAUGCCACCAUGGGAAGCAUCGUGUGUUUGAAUUCACUGGUCUGUUUCGACGUA